GGAUUGCCCCAGUAACGGCGAGUGAAGCGGCAGCAGCUCAAAUUUGAAAUCUGGCCCCUGGGGCCCGAGUUGUAGUUUGCAGAGGAUGCUCUGGGCGCGGCGCCUUCCGAGUUCCCUGGAACGGGACGCCACAGAGGGUGAGAGCCCCGUCUGGUCGGACGCCAAAGCCCGUGUAGAGCUCCUUCGACGAGUCGAGUAGUUUGGGAAUGCUGCUCAAAGCGGGAGGUAUAUGUCUUCUAAAGCUAAAUACCGGCCAGAGACCGAUAGCGCACAAGUAGAGUGAUCGAAAGAUGAAAAGCACUUUGGAAAGAGGGUUAAAGAGCACGUGAAAUUGUUGAAAGGGAAGCGCCCGUGACCAGACCUGGGCCCGGCGAAUCACCUGGCGUUCUCGCCGGCGCACUUCACCGGGCACAGGCCAGCAUCAGCUCGACGCGGGGGACAAAGGCGGCGGGAACGUGGCUCCCCAGGGAGUGUUAUAGCCCGCCGCGCAAUGCCCCGCGCCGGACUGAGGUACGCGCACCGCAAGGAUGCUGGCGUAAUGGUCAUCGGCGACCCGUCUUGAAACACGGACCAAGGAGUCGUCUUCGUAUGCGAGUGUUGGGGUGCCAAACCCCCGCGCGGAAUGAAAGUGAACGCAGGUGAGAGCUCCGGCGCAUCACCGACCGAUCCUGAUGUUCUCGGAUGGAUUUGAGUAGGAGCAUACGGGGCCGGACCCGAAAGAAGGUGAACUAUGCCUGUGUAGGGUGAAGCCAGAGGAAACUCUGGUGGAGGCUCGCAGCGGUUCUGACGUGCGAAUCGAUCGUCAAACAUGGGCAUGG
rnacentral:rRNA from 1 species